GACGAACGCUGGCGGCGUGCUUAACACAUGCAAGUCGAACGGAAAGGCCCUGCUUGCAGGGUACUCGAGUGGCGAACGGGUGAGUAACACGUGGGUGAUCUGCCCUGCACUUCGGGAUAAGCCUGGGAAACUGGGUCUAAUACCGGAUAGGAGCCAUUUUUAGUGUGAUGGUUGGAAAGUUUUUUCGGUGUAGGAUGAGCUCGCGGCCUAUCAGCUUGUUGGUGGGGUAAUGGCCUACCAAGGCGGCGACGGGUAGCCGGCCUGAGAGGGUGGACGGCCACAUUGGGACUGAGAUACGGCCCAGACUCCUACGGGGGGCAGCAGUGGGGAAUAUUGCACAAUGGGCGCAAGCCUGAUGCAGCGACGCCGCGUGGGGGAUGACGGCCUUCGGGUUGUAAACUCCUUUCGCUAGGGACGAAGCUUUUUGUGACGGUACCUAGAUAAGAAGCACCGGCUAACUACGUG
rnacentral:rRNA from 1 species